UUCUUGUGUCGCGGCCUUUGAGGUGAGUCUGCAUCGUUUUGUUAUAACGGGUAUAACGGGUGCCUAAUAAUGAGUAAAAAAUCAACCUAUAAAUCAAAUACUUAUUCUAUCUUCUUCUAUUUUAAAAUUUAGGAAAAAAGAAUUGGAUUAAGUCUUUAAAUUUCAGAAAUGGAAUCGAAUAAAACUGAUAACACUCCAAAGCAAACUAUGGUUUACAUUUGUGAGUGCCAUCAUGAUAAUGAAAUUCGUCCAAGAGAUCCUAUACGCUGUAGAGAAUGUGGUUAUCGAAUAAUGUACAAAAAACGUACUAAGAGACUUGUUGUAUUUGAUGCUCGAUAAGAUAUAUACACUGAAAAAUGAUUUACAAGGUACGAAGAAGAUCUACGAGGAAAACCUAAGUUUGAUUAUCAAGACAGUACAAUAAUUAAAAGUUUUACUUUUAAUGCUCAUCUCGAAUAAGUUAAUUACAACUUCAUUGAGUGAAUCUUUCUGUGAUUAUUGAUAGAAGCAAUAUGAUCCUGUUGUGGUAGACGUUUUCUUACAUUGAAAAAAAUAUUUAAAAAUCUACUAACAAAUAAUAAUAGAUGUUAAUAAAAAUAGAGCAAAAAUGAACAAUAAAAUCGAAUGAAAAUAAAGAGUAAUCAAUAAUAGCUAAUAUAGUACUCAAAACCUAUUUGUUUGUUCUUCAGCUUCCUUUUUCCUUCUAGUACCUUCUCCAGUUUUUCUCUGAUUAUCUCUGCAUAUACCUUGUAUCUUGUAUCCUGUAACAUGGCAUCCCUAAUGUAGAGAAGAUUCAAGGGCUUUCAUGCACAAUGUACAAGUUAUCUAUCAUACAUAUAGUAUAGUACAAAAUCAACCAGAAAAUUUUUUAUAGUUAAUUGAUCAGAGCAAGCUGGCCAAAUUUUGAAAAUCCGCCACGGGGUAUUUUGUAUUUUCAAACUUUUAGAAAAACAAAAAGUCUGAUUGAAAUUUCUUCGGUAAAACGAUUCAUAAAACUUAACACUACGGCGUUACAGACUCGAUUUCCAUUGCAAGCUUUAUUUAAAAAGUUUUAUGUAAAAUUAGAUUUUGAGGUUGGCGCUGUAAUCACGCGAGUACGCGUAAACAUCUGUUCGUAUUUCCAAGAUUUUAUAAAAACUAAAUGUCCGAUCGAAAUUUCCUUUGGUAGAGUGAUUUAUUAAACCUAACACUAGAGCGCUCCAAGCUUGGUUUUUCAUUACACGCUUUAUUUAAAAAGUUAUAUGUAAUAGAAAAACAGUGUUUUUAGCGACGACAUCCCCUUAAUGGCGAACAACUGAUAUGUGAAUAAGUUGAAGCGUAUAUGGAUGAUGUUUAACACUUAAAUAUAUUUUAACAAACUUUACACUAUUUACAAAGUGUCGCGGAGACCGAAAAGGUCUUGUGUGUUCAGAGGUUACAUCAGUUCUAAUUUGUAUCUGUCGGUGUCAACGCUUAUAAGUGCUAGCAAUGCUAUUAUCUGAAUAGGUAAAAGCGGGAUAAUUGCGCCAGGGACAGGAUAAGACGAGAUAUGGAGGUUUUGGGAAUAUAAACCGUAGAGCGACACAGGUAGACAGGUGUGCGGAGUAGUUUGGUACAAAAUCGCCUAAUGAAAAUCGGGAAAAACCUAGCAACGGCUAUACUAAAACAUCACGGCUUUGUAUACAUGCCUGAACUUAUUUGAAAUAAAGUGUGGCAGAGUAUAUGUGUUGGCAAAAUAAAUUUAAGCAAAUAGUAUCCGAUUAUAUGCACUAGCGCAAUAUAUUGCGCUAUAAUGGAUAUACAAGGCAGCAGCUGAUAUUAUAGUUCAUUACUACGAAGAUUUGAUAAAACAUACUUACAUUCAUACAUUCAUUUAUAAUGUAAAAAUUCAUACCAGCACGGAACUGUCUAAAUUAAAUGAAGUAAUUCAUAAAUUUUGAUACUAAAUAUAUUUCGGCUAAGUUAGAAUAUAAAAUCUUAUGCGCAUAUGUUUUCCUCUAGAUUUUGAUGAAAAAUACUUUCAGGUGCGUCUCAGUUUCUAAUGUAUAAAUUUGAACGAAUAUUUAGGCAUUUAGAAUAAGGAAAAAUGUCUCGCAAUUUCGACGCAAAACAUGAUUUAGUCAAGUUAUAACACAAAAGGUUCACGCGCCGAGUUAAGCAUGUUGCAUGAGAGAGUUGACGCGCGCAUAUUCUUGCCGCGAUAAGCGCGUAACACAGCGACAUAUAUUAUACGUUCAUAUUUUCAAAUACAUCUUAAUUUUUAUUGUAGAAAUUCGAAUAACCAUCAGAGCAUCUUAAACAGAGAAAAUAUCUCGCAAUUUCUGAGGCAAAACAUGCUUUAACCAACUUAUAAUACAUAAAAUUCACGUGCCGUGCCUAUCAUGUUGCAAUUAGUAUAAUGUGCUAGGAUAGCCUGAUGCGUAUGUAUUUGUGCCGCAAUAAACACACAGUGCAGCGAUGCUCAUUGUUAUGAAAUUUUGUCAAAAAGAAAGUCCGCUCAUAUUCCUAUCGUAAAAAAUGUUAAGCAAAUAUCAAUUUAUUUAACAUAAGGGAAAUAUCUUGUGAUUCUUGUCGUAAAACAUGCUUCAGCUUAAUUAGUAUGCAAAAAUGUAUGCGCUGUAUUUAAUGUGUUGCAUGAGAAAGGCUCGAUGUGCGCACAUUCAUACCACGAUGAGUAUAUAACAUAGUGGUGUAUACUGCGCGAUCAUAGUCACAAAAUUUUUGUUAAGAAUUACCUUCAUUUAUUACAUCAUUCCUGCUGUAGAAAUUCAAGAAAAUAUUAGUCUAUCUAAAACAAGGGAAGCAUAUUAUAAUUUUUGAUGCAAAAUUUGCUUUAGCUAAGUUAUAAUACAAAAAUUUUACGUACUAUCUAUGUAUAUUUUACAUAAUAACUAUGAUGCGUACUGUACGUUUAUUAUUACAAAAAUUUUACAAGAACUAUCCUUGCUUGUAUUUUUAUUUCUACUUUACAUUUUCGAUUAAUAUCGGGCCUUUUGAAACAAAGAAAAACUUUAUGUGAUUUCAAAUGCUCUAUAUGUUUUAUCAAAAUUAGAUUGCAAUAAAUUAAAUGCUGUGCUGAGCACGAUUGAUGUGAAACGCUCGAAAUACAUAUAUUCUAGUCAAUAAAAAUAUUACACCGGUAAUUGCGGGUAAUAAAGUAAUUAAUACGUAUGUACAUUUAAAUAUAAAUAUUUUAUGAGUACAAAAGAAAAGGCUGAAACUGUGUUAUUUGUGCAUUGAUUGUAUAUGAACUUGCGCGCCUAAUGGCCGCGAGAAUGCGAAAUUAAAUUAUCGUUUUUUUUUUUUUAAGUGAAUUAGUAUGGUUGUCACUGGCUAGAAUGAGUGUCGCUGUUUUAUCAGCUUGUUGGAAUGCGCGUUUACACGUGUUUAUGUCUCGAGCGGUGUUCCGAACAGGCUUUGAGAGAGCAUAGCGCUUGUGUAUAGGGGAGCGGGGGAAGAGAGGUGAGCUUUGCUUGGCGUGACGGCUCUCCACCGCUGCCGUUUAUGAAUGAGAUGACCGUGCGGGUGCGAGGACAACACGAUCUCGGUUGUUUCGACGCUGCAUCUUCGACUGCGCGCAUAACUAAUUCGAUUCUCAAAGUAUGCGGAAGUGUUUUUAAAAUUGAUUAAACAUGUGCUUCAUGCCGAGUUCCAUAAAUUCGCCGUUCGACCUGGCCUGCGCGAUGUCCGUGGCAAGGUGGGCAACAGCUUCCUUGACGGAUUAUGAAACAUACGCCAAGGGGAUGCUGUUUCGGAGCCUGGACUGAACACGGUUUGGAGUGCUCGUUCAUGAGCGUUUGAUAGACCGGUUGCAAUGCCGAUUUUGUGAUGCCGACCUUGACUUUCAUGUAGAGACUAAGGUACAUGGCUAUACCGAUUUCGGAAACUGGAAGGCAGGUGGUGGGCAUUAUCUCUUGGGGGAGCGCGGUGAGACUCGUUUUCCAGUCAUAUGCCCCAAUGAUGGCUACCUUGGGACUCGUGUGUCGAUGUGGCCCGUUAUGGAGCGUACGGAUUAUGAAGAGUUUGACCCCGAACAGUUCGGAGAUGUGCUCAUGGAGGAGCGCAAGAGCGUGCAGUAUAGAGGGAAGCGUGUCCGUAUAUUUAAGUAUAAAUGUCCAUGGGGAAAGCCAUAUUCAGUAAUUGUCCAUAUCGGAUCACGACGUCCAGCGUACUUGCCGUCAAGCGUGAAACAUCUAAAUACGGUGCAGAAGCUCAAUGUGAUUUUUUUGCGGUGCGACGUGCAAGAGGGAUGCACGUCGUACCAGAAGAUGUUGCGGUGUCGCUGUCACGGUAGCUUUUUAUUAUUUGAAGUCGUGACAAGCGCCUCCGACUAAAGCUAAUAUUAUGUUUUAAAUUUUAUUAGUUUUAUCAACAAUAUAAUGUUUUGUAUGCUGAAGAAGAAAAAAAAAUUUGUGUUUUUAUUUGUGUAUACCCUGCCACUCCUUUUGUUCCCAUAUCAAAAUGCUGCCAAUUUUUCUUCUUUACAUGUAGUUUCCUUUGACGUUAUAUAUAUAU